UUUCACCGUGGCAAAGCAUGGGAGGAAGGUAAACAGAGGGCUCUGCAGCUUUAAGAAGUGUGCACACAUGAACAGCUGGCAGUGGGCCAUUAGGCCAACAUAAACACUUCUAAUCCUUUUUCCAAGGAGCUUUCAACACUCAUCUCCCUGGCACAUCGGCCGUUGACUCACUCCCUGACAUUCCUGGCUGUUUGAAGUAGAGGAGAGCAGUCACCAGGCGGCACUGUGGCUCCAACAAUGGCCCCUGGUGCUGUUGAUCAUUAUUCACUGCAAAGGUUGCAGCCUCACAGCAUCACUAAAAGUGCCUCUACAACUUCAUUUCCUGCUAGGCCCCAGCUCUGACUCUCCUUCAUCUGACCUUUCACACAGUUAACCCCAUGAAUGGACAAUAGCGCCCUUUACUUGGGCCCCAUGACCACAGCAAAGCCUGCAGCUGGAGCGCACAGCAAGCCUUCUUUGGCCCGAGGGCAUGCCAACAGCUGAGAAAGAUCACCGGGCUGCCAAGGGGAUUUUUAUUUGAAUGGUCAAGUGGUCGCAGAUGUAAAGGAUGAAAGUACCCUCUGCACAAUGAACCAAGAUCAAAAACUGGAGAUGGAUGAGAUACCUCAAAGAAAUUGGCUUUAACAGGUGCUGAGGAGCCUCAUGGUGGAUCUGCUGGACCUCAGAAGAGUAAACAUCUGAACAACUCCAGCUGUUUAUACUGUAUGCUUUUGAUUUCUUGUCAGAUAUCAAAAGCAUCAUAUAGUCUGACACAGGGUUUUUUGUUGAGUGUCAAAUGAUUACAGACUUAUUUACUUUUCGAUAAAAGUGAAAAUCCUAAAAGCUGACCUGUCCAGCGACCGGGUUCACUUUAAAUGAAACAGGGCUUUAAUGGCGGGGACUGGCUCUGGCAAUCCUGCGACCCCGAAGGAGGAUAUGGCGGA
rnacentral:lncRNA from 1 species